rnacentral:lncRNA from 1 species
CAGUACAGCAAACAGAAACCUAAGACAAACAAAGAUUACUUGUAGCCGCAAGCAUUUAUUAAAUGCUUUGCUACAAGGUAGAGGUCAUGUCUUAAAGACUUUGUAUUGCUUUUGAACAUCCUAGGCUCGUAUAGGACCUAAAAGAAAAAUAAUUUCUCUGAAGUCCAUUAGAGGUGAAAGAAAGAAAAAACGGCUACAAAGAACCAUAGUACUAGCCAGUACUAUGAGCAUCUCCCUCUAUCUUCCACUUUGACAAAAAGCAAAACCUUCACCAUUUGUUUUUCUUUGCUGACACACAGACAAAAUACUAGAAGGCACUUUGGACUUCCAUCUUUCAUGUACAAUCUAUUAACAGCCUGUCUAUUGUGCUUUUGCCAUAUUUUCUAAAUUCUUGUAUUCCCCAUGAGCUGUACAGUUAACCUACUAAAUGGCCUCCAGUUUUGCCUUUCUCCAGUCUUUUCUGACUGAAUUUCUCCAUCACAGGUAAACUCAAAUUAGUCACCUACUCAAAAAUCUCCAAUAAAGUGUUUAGGACACACUAUUCAAUCUAUCCCCAAAUUCUUUCUAAUCAUACUCCCUAAUAAUCCCUCCCCCCUUGUACAUUCACAUUUACUGUACACUGAGGCAAAUGUAAAGAAAAAUAUACUCUUGUUCAGAUAAGGCGUGUACCAUAAAAAAGAAACCAAUGCAAGGAUGUAUGAACAACAGUGAAAGACAAUAUGAAAGCCAGCACAGGCAGCAUGGCAUGGUCAAGGAAGUGAAAAAGAAAACAUAAUCUUGUGGGAGAAGUGAGCAAUGCUAAUGCCUUUUAUAUUAAUCCCUU